AUCCCUGCUCGCUAUGCUCGAGUCCUCCCCUGCUCGCUGUUCUUCAGGAGGCCCCUCUCAUCGCGUCCUCGGUUUUUCCAUGGCAGCUAGCUACACGGCACCU
rnacentral:SRP_RNA from 1 species